UACUUAUGUUUGGAUGUAGUAUACCAUGCCCAGUUUCAGUUUUAGGAAUGCUCCGUACAUCAUAUGGAUUAUAACCACUGGUUUGACACACCUAUUAUUUUUAUUUGAGAUGUGGGAAGAUCGGUGCUCUACAAAUAACAAUCACAACGCCUGUAUUUUGGAGGUGAAACUUCUGGCUAUGCUUUACAGUGUGUAGCAGGAAACCACUGCCAUAACACGCCACAGUCUGACAUGGCCAAGACUGACAGCAAUGAGGAUGUCAUGGUUCCUUUUUCCUAGUGACCAGUUUUAGGUUCAUAAGUGCUGAGUGAGAAAUUUGCUUCAUUGGAUGCCUAUCUGACAAGUCAGUGUGUUGCGCUUGUAGGAAUAUAGUGUCCCAUUCUCAGGACCCACUUUGAAGGAUAUUAGAUUCCUAGAUUGGGACGAGAGAUACAUCACAAAUCUGAUGUAGAGCUAGUCUGGUAAGACUUAUGAGCAGAAGGCAUAUGAUGUAAACCUCUUCUUCCUGGAAGACCAACAAACGCAUGAAGGACAUAAUCAAUAUGAUGUAGGGAAGCCCCAUGCAAUGUCCAAAAUGGCUUGUGGAUCACAUAGGUCACCCCCCCCCAAACUGGAGAUAGUGCAAAUCUGUACCACAGGGGCAGUUUCAUCUUUUUACCCAAGGCUGUGGAUUUGUGAAUUAUCUGACUUCAGAGGUGAAGCAGCUGAUGUAAAAGCAAUUGAGUGUGGAACAGAUAUCUCCACAAGUCCAGUGGAGGACUCUUAUUUCAAAGGACUCACAUGCAAAUUUGAAGGCAUUCAGCUUAUCCUACUGACAUUUUGUCCCUAUGCCCUUGAACUAGAUGCAUUCUCAGUAGACUAUUGUACCUGUUUGUGCUGAAUUUCCUACUUAGUCCUCAUAUGUCUAUAUCAGCGUGUUCUCUUGGUCUGUGCAUGUUAUUAAUGCCUGUACUCAUUGUUAAUUUCAGCUCAUUGGGCCUUUCCUGAUCACCAGCUAUACCAUUCUCUUAUUUACCACCCUUAUUUGAUUAACUGACUCUGACUUUAACAGUCAAGAAUGGACAGCAGGACUGGUGACAUGGCAUUCAGUCAUUAAGCUUCUAUGUCAUGCAACAGACUACCUGCCUCCGAGUUCAGUAUGAGGAUACUUUUCAGAGGUCUUACUGUCAACAAACAUUUAGCAGAUACUUCAGCUGUACUGCGUUUAAAGAGUUUCUUCAGCCCCACUGCUGACUUGCAGUCAUUGUACCCCCAUGGAUAGUUUUAUCUGAGUUCACAGUCUCAUUAACGUCUGAAGAAACUCAUAGCUCAGCUGUGCUCCUGAUAUGCAAGAAUACAUUAACUAUAGAUUGCUGUAACUUGGCUUACCUAGUCUGGUACAUAGAGAACUCAUAUAGUUGCAUUACUGCAGUCUCCAUGCCUGCAUCUGUUCUGGAGUUCUGCCACUUAAUAGUGUGCAGUUCAUGUAUUGAUGGUGUUUGCUUAUUUAUCUUUCUCUGUUUCUGUGACUACCCAUUUUGUGGCUAAGCAUGUUCCAAAGCAUUAUCCCAUAUAAUCAGUAAAUAAAUAUUACUGUUUUUAAUAUGUGUAAAAAUUAAAUAUUCAAAAUAAUAAAUUGUAUGGUUGCAGUUAAGAUAUUUAACAAUAUUUUCAUUUAAUAUUAUUUGUUUCAUUAGCUUCACACUUGCAUGCUUUUCUUCUUCCGAUGUUGAGUCUAAAGUAUCAUUUUUAACAGAUGGAAAAUAGUGUUUUAAUUUGUCUCAUACCAGACGUCUGUCCAUCCUUUUUUGGCAGCUGCAUCCCAUUAUUCUACAUGAAGAUUAAGAGAACUGUGUCUUCUACCUGCCCAUUUAUUACAGUCACAAGAGAAGUAACAUUAACCGUCAGUAACUGGACAACUGGGACUAGUGACAGCAACCUGAUAAGGCUCACAUUUGUGUCAUUUUCCUUUAUGAAUAGUUCUGUGUUUUCAGUCUACUCUAAUGUGCUUUCUGCUUAUAUGCAAAAAUGUCAAGACUAUUAAAAUAAUGCAACAUUUCAUUGUGAAA